rnacentral:rRNA from 1 species
GACGAACGCUGGCGGCGUGCCUAAUACAUGCAAGUAGAACGCUGAAGCUUGGUGCUUGCACCGAGCGGAUGAGUUGCGAACGGGUGAGUAACGCGUAGGUAACCUGCCUGGUAGCGGGGGAUAACUAUUGGAAACGAUAGCUAAUACCGCAUAAGAGUAGAUGUUGCAUGACAUUUGCUUAAAAGGUGCAAUUGCAUCACUACCAGAUGGACCUGCGUUGUAUUAGCUAGUUGGUGAGGUAACGGCUCACCAAGGCAACGAUACAUAGCCGACCUGAGAGGGUGAUCGGCCACACUGGGACUGAGACACGGCCCAGACUCCUACGGGAGGCAGCAGUAGGGAAUCUUCGGCAAUGGACGGAAGUCUGACCGUGCAACGCCGCGUGAGUGAAGAAGGUUUUCGGAUCGUAAAGCUCUGUUGUAAGAGAAGAACGAGUGUGAGAGUGGAAAGUUCACACUGUGACGGUAUCUUACCAGAAAAGGACGGCUAACUACGU